UUUGGAACUGAUGACUUAUGUUACCGCCCCAGUCUGAAAAUUCCUGACUGAUUGGUACCACCCCUGAUCCAGA